rnacentral:rRNA from 1 species
UACGUAGGGUGCGAGCGUUAAUCGGAAUUACUGGGCGUAAAGCGUGCGCAGGCGGUUGUGCAAGACAGAUGUGAAAUCCCCGGGCUUAACCUGGGAAUUGCAUUUGUGACUGCACGGCUAGAGUGUGUCAGAGGGGGGUAGAAUUCCACGUGUAGCAGUGAAAUGCGUAGAGAUGUGGAGGAAUACCGAUGGCGAAGGCAGCCUCCUGGGCCAACACUGACGCUCAUGCACGAAAGCGUGGGGAGCAAACAGG